rnacentral:rRNA from 1 species
CAGCAGCCGCGGUAAUACGGAGGGCGCGAGCGUUGUCCGGAUUCACUGGGCGUAAAGCGGGUGUAGGCGGUCGGGUAAGUCGGACGUGAAAGCCCGGGGCUCAACCCCGGAAGGGCGUCCGAAACUGCUCGACUUGAGGGCGGGAGAGGGAAGUGGAAUUCCCGGUGUAGCGGUGAAAUGCGUAGAUAUCGGGAGGAACGCCGGUGGCGAAGGCGGCUUCCUGGCCCGUUACUGACGCUGAGGCACGAAAGCCAGGGGAGCGAACCGGAUUAGAUACCCGGGUAGUCCUGGCUGUAAACCAUGGGCGCUAGGUGUGGGUGGUGGUGAGCCAUCGGUGCCGAAGCUAACGCGUUAAGCGCCCCGCCUGGGGAGUACGGUCGCAAGGCUGAAACUUAAAGGAAUUGGCGGG